rnacentral:rRNA from 1 species
AUUGAACGCUGGCGGAAUGCUUUACACAUGCAAGUCGAGCGGCAGCGCGGGGGCAACCCUGGCGGCGAGCGGCGAACGGGUGAGUAACACAUCGGAACGUACCCAGUUGUGGGGGAUAGCCCGGCGAAAGCCGGAUUAAUACCGCAUACGACCUGAGGGUGAAAGGGGGGGAUCGCAAGACCUCUCGCAGUUGGAGCGGCCGAUGGCGGAUUAGCUAGUUGGUGAGGUAAAGGCUCACCAAGGCGACGAUCCGUAGCUGGUCUGAGAGGACGACCCGCCACACGGGAACUGAGACACGGUCCAGACUCCUACGGGAGGCAGCAGUGGGGAAUUUUGGACAAUGGGGGCAACCCUGAUCCAGCCAUUCCGCGUGAGUGAAGAAGGCCUUCGGGUUGUAAAGCUCUUUCGGCAGGAACGAAACGGUGGAGGCUAAUACCUUUCAUCAAUGACGGUACCUGAAGAAGAAGCACCGGCUAACUACGUGCCAGCAGCCGCGGUAA